rnacentral:rRNA from 1 species
GAUGAACGCUGGCGGCGUGCCUAAUACAUGCAAGUCGAGCGAACAGACGAGGAGCUUGCUCCUCUGACGUUAGCGGCGGACGGGUGAGUAACACGUGGAUAACCUACCUAUAAGACUGGGAUAACUUCGGGAAACCGGAGCUAAUACCGGAUAAUAUAUUGAACCGCAUGGUUCAAUAGUGAAAGACGGUCUUGCUGUCACUUAUAGAUGGAUCCGCGCCGCAUUAGCUAGUUGGUAAGGUAACGGCUUACCAAGGCAACGAUGCGUAGCCGACCUGAGAGGGUGGUCGGCCCCACUGGAACUGAGACACGGUCCAAACUCCUACGGGAGGCAGCAGUAGGGAAUCUUCCGGAAUGGGCGGAAGCCUGACGGGGCAAAGCCGCGGGGGUGAUGAAGGUCUUCGGAUCGUAAAACUCUGUUAUUAGGGAAAGACAAAUGGGUAAGUAAAUAUGCACGUCUUGACGGUACCUAAUCCGAAAGCCACGGCUAACUACCUG